rnacentral:lncRNA from 1 species
CAGGGCAGAAUCUGCAGUGAGUUCCUAAGGAAGCUUUUGCCUCCCUCUCCUCCUGCAUGCAAUGGGGAGCUGAUGGCUGCAGUGGCUGCAACGUGGACCUGACUAUGAAGCAAAGGGGGAGAGAACUGCAGACGAGCUGCCUUCACACAACAUCAUGAAUCCAUGCCAGGACCACGUACCCCGACCUUUUUGUUAUGUGAGGAAAAUCACCCUCUCUCGGGAGGGGCCCGGUGGAAGGAGGUUGACAGCUGCAGAGGCAGUGACUCAGUGAAAAGUGGAGAGUUCCAGAGUCCCAGGACCCAACUUGGAAGUCAGCCACCAUGUUGUGAGGAAGCCCAAGCCACAUGGAAGGGUCGCUGCAGGUGUGCCAGCCCAGAGUCUCAGCUGAGGCCUCAGAAGACAGCCAACAUCUACUGUGAUGACGCCCAGAUCAUACCAGUCCCCAGAGGUCAAGUUAUCUCAACCUACAGGUCGUUCCAGAUGAUAACCCAGUAAUUUUGCAACAAAGGCAAGCCAGCUCCUAUGUUCUGCUUAUAUGCCUGACCCACAGAGUCCACGAGCAUAAUGCAAUAUUUGUUUAUGUCAGCUGUGGUAUAGUUUUUUACUAACUUUUCUUUAUGAGUUUGUACAGGGAGAGAGAAUUAAGAGACUCAGAUGCCAGACCCUAAAGAUAAGGUGCUUUGUUACGAUAAGGAAUUCUCUUUCCAGACAUUUAUAAUUUAAGGUAUGUUGAUGUAUUUAGUGCCUAAAUGUCUUAGCAUGGUAUUUCCUUGUGUUUUAUACAGUUUGUCUUUCUCUACUCCCCAGCACUACAACGAACAUAUGUACAAACUUGUGUCACCAGAAAUUGUAAGUGACAUCUGCAAAGAGAGAGAUUGAGAGAAAGAGAAAGAGAGAGAGAGAGAAGACAAACAGAGACAGGGAGAGAGAGGCAGAGAGAAAUGGAGACCGAGAGAGAUUGAUUUAUCCUGUAAACAUCCACAUCACUUUACUUAACCUCUUUUGGUACUCGGCCUUUCAAUUUUGUAAUACGGCCAAUGAGGAAUUUCGGCAAAUCUCAUAUCUAGGAGACCUAGGAGCUUGUGAAGUCCUUGUCCAUCAGUGGCUGUGCAUUCACUGGCUCCUGGCAUGGUGUCUGGUCUUGAGUGUAGACAGUCAGCCUUGGAGAAUGUUUACUAAAUGCACAGUGAAGGGAGCAUGUGCAUCUCACCUUCCUGGCUACCUUAGUUCUCAUGAUAUCCUCAGAGGAGCUCUUUCUAAUAAUGGUUAUUUGUCAUUUCCAAGGGUGUGCUACAUUUUGCAUUUAUUUAACAUCCUGAAAUUGUUACAUAAUACGUUUAUUAUAUUAUAAUCUCCUUUGUGUCUCUGGUAAUAUGCACUUUUGUUAAAUUUUCAUAUGUAUCAUUGCUUUAUCUAAUAGAUCACAUUUAGGACAAGCAAUGGAUUAAGACUGCCUUAUCAGGGAAAUCUAAUGCUUGUCUUUAAGAAGAGAGGUUUAGCUUCAAUUAAGACAUAUACAUCUAAGAUUUAUCACUGCAAGUAGAUACUUAAUGUCUGUGUUUGGAAUGUACUAAUUAGGUUCCAAUUAGCAGGGUCAAAAUAUGUAAAUCAAAAGCACUUCAUCCCCUUUGGUGUCUCUUUCUCUCCCAUAACUAAUUAUCUGUACUCUUCUUGGUCCCAGCAAACACCACGGACCAUGUCUUUAAGUCUCUAAUAUGGUUUCUUCAAGUAUGGGCCAGGUGCUGUCAACCUGUAUGUUCCUCCUGAAUAAGUCCCUGAGGGUGGGAGCAGAGGGUCUGCAUUUUACCAAGAAGACCAAGUAAUCUCACUGGAAAAUAUAGCUUGAGAAAUACUAUUCUUUAGCCACUUAGGCAUUUUCACUAUGAUAUCUUUAGGGUUUAUCUGAUGGAUACUUACCAAGUGUUUCUCAUCUCUCCAGGGGCUGUGAGUAGCAUAAGAAAGCCUAACCCACCGCCCUAUCCUGGAAGUGUGGUCAGGUUAUUAAGGUAUUGCAGAUGACAAUCAUCAUACAGGGCAGCUUUUUCAGUGACUCAAAGAAAACCCUUAGUAUUCCAUAAGCUGAUAUACCUUUUAAAGUUCAUUUCUAAACUAAACAUUGCAAAAAGUUUCUUGUCAAAAGAGAUUUCAGAUGUCUCUAUAUACUGUUUCUUGUAUAAAUCACACACCCUUACCAAGAGCCCUGAGCUGGGACCCACAAAUGGAAAUCAAAGGUAAUGUGUUCCUCCAUUAUAUAAUAGGAAUUUCAUAAAACCCAUACAACAGUCAUCUGUGUUAUACAGAAAAACAUUCAUCACUGAGCAUUUGAACAUUUUGAUGUUUCUGAAGUACAGAAUUCAUGACACUCUGCAAGUUUUUCCAACCAAUUUACAAAUUAUUUUCAUCCCUCAUCUUAUUAUCCUACCUAGUGUCAACUUGUUCUUUCGGCAUAAUCAAUCUGAAUGACUGGUAAGGUUUCAUAGUGCAGCACUUUAGUUUAUGCAGACAUCUGCCCAAAAGCAUCUCAAUCACUCAUAGCAAGAAACAGGGGCAGCAUUAGCCAUGAGGAAAUGCUGUUUUGUUACACAUGUAUAUCUAAAGACAGGGCUAUUUGUAUAAAAGAAAGUCAGGGUAGUGAUAGACAGAACUAAUGUAUCAAUGUCAGCAGAAAAUGCAAGUCAAGGUAUGGCAGCAAAAAUCAGCCUCACAGGGUACCUGGAACACCAUUAAUUUAAAUUUAAAGCCCUUGUGGGGAAACGGAUAUGAUAUAAUCACUAAAUUAUCAUUCAUAAAUGAAGGUCUAUCAAGUAGACUAUAGUAUUAUAUUUAUAUAAGAAAAUCUUUUCACCUUGCAUUCACACAUAGGGGUUUAUGUUGCUUUAAGUAUUUUUCUAGUUUUAUCAUUACAUUCUUAA